GAUCAUGGCUCAGGACGAACGCUGGCGGCGCGCCUAACACAUGCAAGUCGAACGAGCGAGAGAGAGCUUGCUUUCUCGAGCGAGUGGCGAACGGGUNAGUAACGCGUGAGGAACCUGCCUCAAAGAGGGGGACAACAGUUGGAAACGACUGCUAAUACCGCAUAAGCCCACGACCCGGCAUCGGGAAGAGGGAAAAGGAGCAAUCCGCUUUGAGAUGGCCUCGCGUCCGAUUAGCUGG
rnacentral:rRNA from 1 species